AUGGCAGCUGCGUGCUGGGUGGUCCGUCCCCAGUGUCCCCCUGCAGUGGCACGGGCUCCGUCCCCAGCCCUGCUCCAGCAUCACCUCCUCGCUGUAGCACCUCUCCAAGGACAGUGCGGACACAUUUCCCUGCACCUGCAAAGCUGCAGGCCCCAAUCCCGUCCAAACACACCACCUUUUUCCUCCCAUCUUAAAAGUUCAACCCAUUUAGAAAUCCUCUCGUUUCCUCAGUGCCCACGGACUUCAGGUCCUACUGGAGAAGCAUUUUGGGGCCCCAGUACGCCCAGUGCACCGCCGUGCCCAUCUCACCGAGGUAACCAACGCAUCUCGGCAGCACAACGAGAACGGGAUGUUUUCCUACCGCUCCGUGCCCAGACCUUAUGUGGGGUGCCAAAGAGGUGGAAAUGGCUCAGGGGCCAUGGAGGAUGCACAGGGUCCUUCCCUCCUGCACCCCGCUCCCAUCUCACACUUUUGGUGCUCCAGGAUGGAUGGGACGAGAUGGGAUGGGACGAGACAGGGCACUGCCGCCACUGUGGGGCUGAGGACAGAGGAAAUCCUUGGGGAAUGAUGGAGUGGGAGCUGCUCUGACUCCUCUGACUGCAGAGCUCGGCCUGAGCCCUCUCCCCAGGGCCCCAGGGGGGUCAUUAGCAUGCAGCUGCUAGAGGUGCUGCCUAUGGCCCUGCAAACUCCCUGCCCCAGAGCCCUUCUGAUCUAAGUGCUGGUGUGGUGCUGGGCGCCCCCCUGGUGUGUCCGAAUCCCUCUGAAAAUAGUGCACCAGAGACCAGACCCGUCCCAGCUCUGCUGCUGACCCCAGGGGGGGAGGCUGCUGAUGUUAAAAUGACCUCAGAGCAGAUCAAUCCCGGCUCAGACCUGAUGGAUCCAUGCAAAGUGCUUAAGAGGACCCGCCUGCUACAACCAUGAUACGAACUGGGACACAUUACUGAUGAAUCAAACACCGAGGAGCUGAGAUUCCCAGAGACAAUGCUUUCUUUGCCCCGAAAUGCCACCCUCCUGCUUCUCGAAGAGAUGUAGUACUAUGAAAGUGCUUUGCGUGCCCACCAGCCCCCUGCUUCCCGUGGGAGGUAUGGGCUGGGUCUGGGACAAUGCCACAUGCUUCCCCUAGGCCUAGCCUAGCGAUGAACAGAAGGCGGCACUGACACUUCUCUGCGAGAGUUUUCUGCAUAAUC
rnacentral:lncRNA from 1 species